rnacentral:tRNA from 1 species
GAGGGUAUAGCUCAAUGGUAGAGUAUGUGUUAUCAUGCUCAAGGUACUGGGUUCAAUCCCCAGUACCUCCA